GUCACUACUCGUUCACCCAGACGACGUAUUUCACAGGUGCUCUGUCUACUGUCACAAAGACGUCAAAAAUAUAACUCCAUAUAACCAUGUGAUCCCUGAUCCUACUGUCUCUUCCAGCAGGAGUCGACAGUGUGUGAUGCAGGGCAGGUGUGUGUGGCGGCGUGUGACGUAAGCCAGUUAUGCAGUCCAGGUGAUGGUACAGCCACGCCCACACCGCGCCACCACCCACAUCCUGUUUCUCAUCCUGGCCAUGUUGUGUGACUCACUCCCUGUCUGGGGUGAGGGCAACGUCAACCACAUGUUCGUUCAGCGCGCCCUCAAGUGGGACCCCAGCCAGUACAGUCAAUGGGCCACCUUGUCCUCCCUCCUCAGCGUCUUAGUGAUGGUGGUGGUGGUAUCAUUACUAGUAUGUUGUCAAG
rnacentral:lncRNA from 1 species